rnacentral:rRNA from 1 species
UGGGGAAUUUUGCACAAUGGGCGCAAGCCUGAUGCAGCGACGCCACGUGAGGGAUGAAGGCCUUCGGGUUGUAAACCUUUUUCGCUCAUGGUCAAGCCGCAGCUUUGGGUUGUGGUGAGGGUAGUGGGUAAAGAAGCGCCGGCUAACUACGUGCCAGCAGCCGCGGUAAUACGUAGGUGGCAAGCGUUGUCCGGAAUUAUUGGGCGUAAAGCGCGCGCAGGUGGUUUAGAAAGUCUGAUGUGAAAGCCCACGGCUCAACCGUGGAGGGUCAUUGGAAACUAAUAAACUUGAGUGCAGGAGAGAAAAGUGGAAUUCCUAGUGUAGCGGUGAAAUGCGUAGAGAUUAGGAGGAACACCGGUGGCGAAAGCGGCUUUUUGGCCUGCAACUGACACUGAGGCGCGAAAGCGUGGGGAGCAAACAGG